rnacentral:rRNA from 1 species
GACGAACGCUGGCGGCGUGCUUAACACAUGCAAGUCGAACGGAAAGGCCCUGCUUUUGUGGGGUGCUCGAGUGGCGAACGGGUGAGUAACACGUGAGUAACCUGCCCUUGACUUUGGGAUAACUUCAGGAAACUGGGGCUAAUACCGGAUAGGAGCUCCUGCUGCAUGGUGGGGGUUGGAAAGUUUCGGCGGUUGGGGAUGGACUCGCGGCUUAUCAGCUUGUUGGUGGGGUAGUGGCUUACCAAGGCUUUGACGGGUAGCCGGCCUGAGAGGGUGACCGGCCACAUUGGGACUGAGAUACGGCCCAGACUCCUACGGGAGGCAGCAGUGGGGAAUAUUGCACAAUGGGCGGAAGCCUGAUGCAGCAACGUCGCGUGCGGGAUGACGGCCGUCGGGUUGUAAACCGCUUUCGCCUGUGACGAAGCGUGAGUGACGGUAAUGGGUAAAGAAGCACCGGCUAACUACGUG